rnacentral:tRNA from 1 species
UACAAUCUGGUGUAAACAGCACAUGAAGUUUUGAUCUUUAAGGAGUAGGUGGAAUUCCGCGGUUGUAA